UUCUCGUUAGAUCACCGAAGUCAAGCAUCAUUGGGCGCGGUCAGUACUUGGGUGGGUGACCUCCUGGGAACACCGCGUGCCGUU